AUGCUUGUCUCAAAGAUUAAGCCAUGCAUGUCUAAGUUCACACCCUCGUACGGUGAAACCGCGAAUGGCUCAUUAAAUCAGUCGAGGUUCCUUAGAUGAUCCUUUUCUACUUGGAUAACUGUGGUAAUUCUAGAGCUAAUACAUGCUGUUCCGCUCCGACCCUUCGGGGAAAGAGCGCUUUUAUUAGUUCAAAACCAGUCGGGAUUCGUCUCGUCCUUUGGUGACUCUGGAUAACUUUGUGCCGAUCGCAUGGCCACGAGCCGGCGACACAUCUUUCAAAUGUCUGCCCUAUCAAAUGACGAUGGUCGGUGAUCUGCCUACCAUGUUGGCUACGGGUAGCGGAGAAUCGGGGUUCGAUUCCGGAGAGGGAGCAUGAGAAACGGCUACCACAUCCAAGGAAGGCAGCAGGCGCGCAACUUACCCACUCCUGGCACGGGGAGGUAGUGACGAAAAAUAACAAUACGGAACUCGAAAGAGGCUUCGUAAUUGGAAUGAGUACACUUUAAACCCUUUAACGAGGAUCUAUUGGAGGGCAAGUCUGGUGCCAGCAGCCGCGGUAAUUCCAGCUCCAAUAGCGUAUACUAAAGUUGUUGCGAUUAAAAAGCUCGUAGUUGGAUCUCAGGCAUGGGCGCGCGGUCCGUCUCGCGACGGUUACUGCGUGAAUUGUGUU
rnacentral:rRNA from 1 species